rnacentral:rRNA from 1 species
GCGUAAUAGCUCACUGGUCAAGUGAUUAUGCGCCGAUAAUGUAGCGGGGCUCAAGCACACCGCCGAAGCCGCGGCACAUUCAUCUUUACGGUGGAUGUGGGUAGGGGAGCGUCCCCCAUUCAGCGAAGCCUCCGGGUGAUCGGUGGUGGAGGGUGGGGGAGUGAGAAUGCAGGCAUGAGUAGCGAUAAGGCAAGUGAGAACCUUGCCCGCCGUAAGACCAAGGGUUCCUGGGCCAGGCCAGUCCGCCCAGGGUGAGUCGGGACCUAAGGCGAGGCCGACAGGCGUAGUCGAUGGACAACGGGUUGAUAUUCCCGUACCCGUGUAUGGGCGUCCCUGAUGAAUCAGCGGUACUAACCACCCAAAACCGGAUCGACCAUUCCCCUUCGGGGGCGUGGCGAUUCGGGGCUGCGUGGGACCUUCGCUGGUAGUAGUCAAGCAAUGGGGUGACGCAGGAAGGCAGCCGUACCAGUCAGUGGUAAUACUGGGGCAAGCCCGUAGGGAGAGCGAUAGGCAAAUCCGUCGCUCACUAAUCCUGAGAGGUGAUGCAUAGCCGGUUGAGGCGAAUUCGGUGAUCCUCUGCUGCCAAGAAAAGCCUCUAGCGAGCACAUACACGGCCCGUACCCCAAACCAACACAGGUGGUCAGGUAGAGAAUACCAAGGCGUACGAGAUAACUAUGGUUAAGGAACUCGGCAAAAUGCCCCCGUAACUUCGGGAGAAGGGGGGCCGGAAUACCGUGAACACCCUUGCGGUGGGAGCGGGAUUCGGCCGCAGAAACCAGUGGGUAGCGACUGUUUACUAAAAACACAGGUCCGUGCGAAGUCGCAAGACGAUGUAUACGGACUGACGCCUGCCCGGUGCUGGAAGGUUAAGAGGACCCGUUAACCCGUAAGGGUGAAGCGGAGAAUUUAAGCCCCAGUAAACGGCGGUGGUAACUAUAACCAUCCUAAGGUAGCGAAAUUCCUUGUCGGGUAAGUUCCGACCUGCACGAAUGGCGUAACGACUUCCCAACUGUCUCAACCAUAGACUCGGCGAAAUUGCACUACGAGUAAAGAUGCUCGUUACGCGCGGCAGGACGAAAAGACCCCGGGACCUUCACUACAACUUGGUAUUGGUGUUCGGUACGGUUUGUGUAGGAUAGGUGGGAGACUUUGAAGCACAGACGCCAGUUUGUGUGGAGUCGUUGUUGAAAUACCACUCUGAUCGUAUUGGACACCUAACGUCGAACCCUUAUCGGGUUCACGGACAGUGCCUGGCGGGUAGUUUAACUGGGGCGGUUGCCUCCUAAAAUGUAACGGAGGCGCCCAAAGGUUCCCUCAACCUGGACGGCAAUCAGGUGGCGAGUGUAAGUGCACAAGGGAGCUUGACUGCGAGACUUACAAGUCAAGCAGGGACGAAAGUCGGGACUAGUGAUCCGGCACCCCCGAGUGGAAGGGGUGUCGCUCAACGGAUAAAAGGUACCCCGGGGAUAACAGGCUGAUCUUCCCCAAGAGUCCAUAUCGACGGGAUGGUUUGGCACCUCGAUGUCGGCUCGUCGCAUCCUGGGGCUGGAGCAGGUCCCAAGGGUUGGGCUGUUCGCCCAUUAAAGCGGCACGCGAGCUGGGUUUAGAACGUCGUGAGACAGUUCGGUCUCUAUCCGCCGCGCGCGUCAGAAACUUGAGGAAACCUGUCCCUAGUACGAGAGGACCGGGACGGACGAACCUCUGGUAUACCAGUUGUCCCACCAGGGGCACGGCUGGAUAGCCACGUUCGGACAGGAUAACCGCUGAAAGCAUCUAAGCGGGAAACCUUCUCCAAGAUCAGGUUUCUCACCCUUUUAGAGGGAUAAGGCCCCCCGCAGAUCACGGGAUUGAUAGGCCAGACCUGGAAGCUCAGUAAUGAGUGCAGGGAACUGGCACUAACCGGCCGAAAACUUACCAAC